rnacentral:tRNA from 1 species
GUUGUAGCUCAGUGGUAGAGUGCUUGCUUGCCCAGCAUGUGUGAGGCACUGGGGUUCAAUCCUCAGCACCACA